rnacentral:rRNA from 1 species
CCUACGGGUGGCAGCAGUGGGGGAUAUUGCACAAUGGGGGGAACCCUGAUGCAGCGACGCCGCGUGGGUGAAGAAGCGCCUCUGCGCGGAAAGCCCUUUCAGCAGGGGAGAAAAUGACGGUACCUGAAGAAGAAGCCACGGCUAACUACGUGCCAGCAGCCGCGGGAAUACGGAGGGGGCAAGCGUUAUCCGGAUUUACUGGGUGUAAAGGGGGCGCAGACGGGGAUGCAAGCCAGGAGUGAAAGCCCGGGGCCCAACCCCGGGACUGCUGUUGGAACUGGGUGGCUGGAGUGCAGGAGGGGCAGGCGGAAUGCGUGGUGUAGCGGUGAAAUGCGUAGAUAUCAGGAGGAACACCGGUGGCGAAGGCAGCCUGCUGGACUGCAACUGACGUUGAGGCCCGAAAGCGUGGGGAGCAAACAGGAUUAGAUAACCGAGUAGUC